rnacentral:rRNA from 1 species
GACGUAGGGGGCGAGCGUUGUCCGGAUUUAUUGGGCGUAAAGCGCGCGUAGGCGGUCCGUUAAGUCGGAUGUGAAAAUCCGGGGCUCAACCCCGGACCUGCAUCCGAUACUGGCGGGCUGGAGGCAGGUAGGGGAGAUCGGAAUUCCUGGUGUAGCGGUGGAAUGCGCAGAUAUCAGGAGGAACACCGAUGGCGAAGGCAGAUCUCUGGGCCGUAACUGACGCUGAGGAGCGAAAGCGUGGGGAGCGAACAGG